rnacentral:rRNA from 1 species
GAGUUUGAUCAUGGCUCAGAUUGAACGCUGGCGGCAGGCUUAACACAUGCAAGUCGAGCGGGGACUUCGGUCCUAGCGGCGAACGGGUGAGGAAUGCUUGGGAAUCUGCCUGGUAGUGGGGGAUAACGUUUCGAAAGGAACGCUAAUACCGCAUACGUCCUACGGGAGAAAGGGGGGAAUCUUCGGACCUCUCGCUAUCAGAUGAGCCCAAGUCGGAUUAGCUAGUUGGUGAGGUAAAGGCUCACCAAGGCGACGAUCCGUAGCUGGUCUGAGAGGAUGAUCAGCCACACUGGAACUGAGACACGGUCCAGACUCCUACGGGAGGCAGCAGUGGGGAAUAUUGGACAAUGGGCGAAAGCCUGAUCCAGCCAUGCCGCGUGUGUGAAGAAGGCCUUCGGGUUGUAAAGCACUUUAAGCGAGGAGGAAUGGCUCUGGGUUAAUACCCUUGAGCAGUGACGUUACUCGCAGAAUAAGCACCGGCUAACUCUGUGCCAGCAGCCGCGGUAAUACAGAGGGUGCAAGCGUUAAUCGGAAUUACUGGGCGUAAAGCGCGCGUAGGCGGUUACGUAAGUUGGAUGUGAAAUCCCCGGGCUCAACCUGGGAAUGCAUUCAAAACUGCGUGGCUAGAGUGUGGGAGAGGAAGGUAG